rnacentral:rRNA from 1 species
ACCGUAGACCGUAACCGGCAAGGGGCGGUACCACGGUAGGAUCGUGACUGGGGUG